UUAUCUCUGCUGGUUCAUGCGGCUGGCUAGCAUUCCGUGAACCAAUACUCAUGAUCCUGGUUGCCGCAGUUACAAGCUGGUGUGAUUCCCUCUUAGCCAGGGAAACCUGAAGGCUUGAAGUAGCGACCACAUUGAACCUUAGGUUCAGGGAUCAAGCCACCGCGGUUCCGGCAGAGACCCC
rnacentral:other from 1 species